UUUUUCUUUUUUUCUUUCUUUCUUUUUAUUUUUUGUAUUGGGGCUGCACCUGUGUUAUGGAAGUUCCCUGACUAGGGGCUGAAUAGGAGCUGCAGCUGCUGGCCUAUACCACAGCUUGUAGCAACACCAGAUCCCCAACCAAGGCUCAAACCCACAUCCUCAUAGAUACUAUGGACACUAUGAUGGGUUCUUAACCUGCUGAGCCACAACAGGAACUCCCAAUUUCUUAUUUUGAAACACUACUUUGGAAGGAAAAGAGGCUCUGAAGGACUUGAAGGCACAGAAUUGAACCCACAUUCCCCAAAGAACUUUGGAACAUCUUCCAACAGACACAUGAAAUAUGCCAAGGGCAAACAAUAGUGCAGAGACUUUCACAAUGCAAUACAAAGCCUAGUUAUACCUAUGCAUCCUGUGUUUGAAAACUGAUACCUCUCUUAAUGAAGGACGAAACUUUAGUGAAAAGGUUCAAUGCCAAACAAGGAGACAAAACAAUAAGCAACAAAUAAAUAAACAAAUACAUAAAAUACUAUAAAUGAAAUACGUGGGAGACAAAUGCUUAGGUACAACCCACAAAAUAAAAUGAGUUAUAUAUGCAGUGUUACAUGAAUUUACACACAUUCUAAAGGUAUUGAAAUAUUUACAUUUCAUAAUAGCUUGCUAAAUUUUUUUACUCAUUUCUCAUGUCUCAGUAUUUUCCUUUUAGUGUCCUAUUUUAUUUUUCAUUAUGUUUCCCAUUAAGGUAAAAUUGCCUCAUGCUCAAUUAGUUACACAGGGAAAACGUUUGGGUCAAAAAUGCUUGUGACAAAGAUACUUAUGGCAAACAUACUGAAUGUGGGGAAAUCUGACUGAAACCAAGAGAACCAGUCAGCUGAACCCAGUCUUACCCACAGACCUGCAUAAUGGUGAGCUAAAUAACAGUUGUGAUUUCAAGCCACCAUAUUUGGAAGUGGUUUAUAAUAGAGCAGUUACUAAUUGAUACAUUAACUAUAUAACUAAAAUGCAUUGAAAACAUAACUUAUUCAUAGUUCUACCAGCCAUAUUUCUUUAGUGGCAGCCAAAAGAAACCAUUUCUGGUUAUUUAGGUAAAUAGGAAUUCAUUGGAAAGAGAGCCUGCUAACAAAAUCCAUGGACACAUGGAUUUACAAAAGGACACAGAAGAGGGACAAGAGCAAACUAAACAAUGUCAUAGAGGCCUUGGGCACCCGAGACACAUCUCCAAACAUCCCAAUCAUACAUGGGAAAUACUUUAGUCAUGAGAGACAAGCACUGACAUGAGUAUGAAUCACAGAAGCACAAGAAAACUGCAGAGUCUAGGGUCCCUCACCUUAAACAUCUUGCUAGUUACCUGUCACUGAGGAACUAAAGGGGCGGCUGCCCAGCUUCCUUUCUUUUGUAUAGCUGCAAAUCAAAAAUUAUUGCAAAUCUGUUAACCAGUAAUCUAUCCAAAGCAGCCCCAGAAAGACUCUCAUUUACUUGCAAUGAAUAAAUUCUUUGAUCUGAUAUUGUAAGAAGUGUGACAAUGGUCUAUCUUUAUGCAAUUAAUUAUGAUGUAGAGGAGAUUACAGUCUUUCAUUAACUUAUUCCUUCCAUAGACUCCUUCUCUUCUGGUUAGUUAAGAUAGAGCAGGACAACUUUUUUUUUACCCAAAGUUGUUCAAAAAAUGGAGAUGAGAUGAUUUCCCAGAAAGAAAGUAGAAUGUUAUUAUCAAGAAGAGAGGAAUGAAUAGAAGCUAGGAGAAACAAAAAUAACAGCUGCCUACCAAAAAAGAAAAGAAAAAAAAAAAAAGGCACCAUGUCAGGUUCCGGAUUUUAAAAACAUAAUAAAAAAGAAGCAAGAAGUAUCUUCUGUCCUUCAGAAGCUUAAAAUAUGUUUCAAGAAAUAAAACACACACAUAAAAAGGCACUCAGCUUGGCUAGAAGGUCCUAUUUAGAAGUAACAAUUGAAUAAUAGAGAAAUAAAGACUAAAAUAUCAAUAGAAAAUUACUGAGACAGAAGGAAGAAGUGUAGAGAGGGAAUUUAAUUUAGAGUCUAAGGAUGAUUUCAGGGGUCUAUGCAAUGGUUCUAAAAUGCAGACCAACUUCUGUGUGUGGAUGGAUAAUACAUGAAAUUUUAACUGAUGUGGCUCCUUCCUUGCAGUUCUGCCCAACUCAUCUGUUCAACCAGUAUUUAUUGGAUGCAAAUACAAAGCACUGUUCUAGGCUCUAUAAAUAGAGUGGUGAACAACUCAGAGCAGUCUCCACCCUCAAAGGCUUUCUUCUAGUUAGGCAAGACUUGAGAUCAAUAUUAUCCCAUAUCAAUGUUCUAUGGUAAGAAUGAGCAGUGGUGGCAUAUAAGUAAGCACUAAAAAAUCCAAAUUUUUACUUUCUGUUUUUAAAUGGCCUGAAUGUACAUAUUUAAUAGGAGUUUUUAUUUUCAAAUACUUUUUAAAUAAAAAUAUCUGAACUGACAUUGCAAAUAGUAGAAUAUAUGUGAGGUAUAGUUCAAUCUAUAGACAAAGCUGGAUACCCAAAUGCAUUUUCAAGAAAGACUUCCUUCAAAGAUCCUGAAGCCACCAGGGCCCACAGAUGGUUAAACACUUAAUAAAAUGUACAACAUACAUGUAGCUGGAAUACCUGAGUUGCACUCCAUCCCUGCUUCUUACUGGUGCUGUGCCUAUGUUCAUAAUAUUAACUUUCCCUAUGUGCAAAAUGACAAUAAUAAUACCUAGGUUAACUCAGAGUGUAGGCUUUUUCUUUUUAAUUAAUUUAUUUUUCAUCUUGAAAAUUUUCAAAUCUAUAGAAAACUAAAAGAAAAUUAUAGGAACACUUGCAUAUCCCUUACCAAGAACCACCAACUGCUAACAUCCUGCCCCACUUUUUCCAACCUUCUCUCCAUCUGCCUGCUGCCCUUGGCUCAUGGCUCACUUCCUCCAUCUUCAAAUCCAGUAACGAGUCCUUCUCACAUUGCCAUCACUCUGAUUCUUUCUCUCCUGCUCCCCCCUCCCACUUAUAAGGACCCUGCUGAUGACACUGACCCCACCCAAACAAUCCAGGAUAGUCUCUCCACCACAAGGUCCUUAAUUUUACUCUCAUCAGCAAAAUUCCUUUGAUCAGGUACAGUAACACUUUCCUGGCAUUCGGGCAUGAACCUCUUUGGGGGCUGUUAUUCUGCUCUCACAGCACCACAGCAUCCACUGAUACCUACAUCAAUUGUAUAAUGUUGGAUAUUACAAAGUAGUGACUGUUCUCUCAUUCAGUCUACGUUUAUUAGUUGCCAUGAAUCUCCUUAAAGGGGGACAAUCUUCUCUCUCAAUUCCUCUCUCCUCCCUUUCUAUUUCUGGAUAUGACAGUAGACUCAUGAAC
ensembl:lncRNA